UUCAAAACCCCAGCUCAACCACCCCUUCUAACACCACCUAACUAAACAAAACAAACCAUUUGAUACUACUAGUAAAGGAGAUUGAACAU
rnacentral:rRNA from 1 species